CACUGUGCAAUUCAUCAUUCACGCUGGACGUUUUUUGUUUGUGUGUAUCCUAGCAACUGUAGUAAACAAACCAGCGGCUAAUAAUCACUGGGUGAAAAGUUGUGAUUUUGCUGCAGCGCGUCGAAAGUAAUAAACUAAAAAUAAAAAUGGAUUCUGUUCCCCCAUGUGGUGAUGGCCCCCAGAACACUCCAGUGGAAAGGAUACCCAAAAGUGCAAACCCUGAAAUGGGAGAUGCUCCCAAAAUUAUUAAGUAUUAUGUGGAUGCCAUCAUACCGAACAAUUUUAGGGGACGUCAGCUGACUCCAGACCGAA